rnacentral:rRNA from 1 species
GAUAAACGCUAGCGAUAGGCUUAACACAUGCAAGUCGAGGGGCAGCAUAGAAGUAGUUUACUACUUUAGAUGGCGACCGGCGGAUGGGUGAGUAACGCGUAUGCAAUCUACCUAAUGCGGGAGGAUAGCCCGGAGAAAUUCGGAUUAAUACUCCAUGUUAUGUUUUUCUCGCACGAGAGAAGCAUUAAAGAUUUAUCGGCAUUAGAUGAGCAUGCGUUCCAUUAGUUAGUUGGUAGGUAACGGCUUACCAAGACAUCGAUGGAUAGGGGGAACUGAGAGGUUUAUCCCCCCACACUGGUACUGAGACACGGACCCAGACUCCUACGGGAGGCAGCAGUGAGGAAUCUUGGUCAAUGAGCGAGAGCUUGAACCAGCCAAGUCGCGUGAAGGAAGACGGCCUUAUGGGUUGUAAACUUCUUUAUACAGGAAUAAAGUGAGCUACGUGUAGCUUUUUGUAUGUACUGUAUGAAUAAGCAUCGGCUAACUUCGUGCCAGC